ACCGAAAUAGCUCAGUUGGGAGAGCGUUAGACUGAAGAUCUAAGGGUCCCUGAUUCGAUCCCGGGUUUCGGCA
rnacentral:tRNA from 1 species